UGCUCGCUUCAGCAGCAAUACACUAAAAUUGAAAUUAUACAGAGACGAUAAGCAUGGAUCCUGCACUAAAACGACAUGCACAUUUGUGAAGGUAUCCCAUGUUUU
ensembl:snRNA U6 U6 spliceosomal RNA